rnacentral:rRNA from 1 species
GUGACGAUAGCCUAGGAGAUACACCUGUACCCAUGCCGAACACAGAAGUUAAGCCCUAGAACGCCGGAAGUAGUUGGGGGUUGCCCCCUGUGAGAUAGG